AUUGAACGCUGGCGGCAUGCUUUACACAUGCAAGUCGAACGGCAGCGCGGGCUUCGGCCUGGCGGCGAGUGGCGAACGGGUGAGUAAUGCAUCGGAACGUGCCCAGUAGUGGGGGAUAGCCCGGCGAAAGCCGGAUUAAUACCGCAUACGACCUGAGGGUGAAAGCGGGGGACCGAAAGGCCUCGCGCUAUUGGAGCGGCCGAUGUCGGAUUAGCUAGUUGGUGGGGUAAAGGCUUACCAAGGCGACGAUCCGUAGCUGGUCUGAGAGGACGACCAGCCACACUGGGACUGAGACACGGCCCAGACUCCUACGGGAGGCAGCAGUGGGGAAUGUUGGACAAUGGGGGCAACCCUGAUCCAGCCAUGCCGCGUGCGGGAAGAAGGCCUUCGGGUUGUAAACCGCUUUUGUGCGGGAAGAAAUCCUCUGGGCUAAUACCCCGGGGGGAUGACGGUACCGGAAGAAUAAGCACCGGCUAACUACGUG
rnacentral:rRNA from 1 species